UACGGAGGGAGCUAGCGUUGUUCGGAAUUACUGGGCGUAAAGCGCGCGUAGGCGGCCUUGUAAGUUAGAGGUGAAAGCCCGGGGCUCAACUCCGGAACUGCCUUUAAGACUGCAUCGCUUGAAUCCGGGAGAGGUGAGUGGAAUUCCGAGUGUAGAGGUGAAAUUCGUAGAUAUUCGGAAGAACACCAGUGGCGAAGGCGGCUCACUGGACCGGUAUUGACGCUGAGGUGCGAAAGCGUGGGGAGCAAACAGG
rnacentral:rRNA from 1 species